GUGCUCGCUUUGGCAGCACAUUUACUAAAAUUGGAACAAUACAGAGAAGAUUAACACAGCCUCUGCGCAAGGAUGAUACGCAAAUUCAUGAAGCGUUCCAUAUUUUU